GACGAACGCUGGCGGCGUGCCUAAUACAUGCAAGUCGAGCGGACGAAUCGAAAGCUUGCUUUUGAUUCGUUAGCGGCGGACGGGUGAGUAACACGUGGGCAACCUGCCCUGUAGACGGGGAUAACACCGAGAAAUCGGUGCUAAUACCGGAUAACACGAAAUGUCGCAUGACGUUUCGUUGAAAGACGGCGCAAGCUGUCGCUACAGGAUGGGCCCGCGGCGCAUUAGCUAGUUGGUGAGGUAACGGCUCACCAAGGCGACGAUGCGUAGCCGACCUGAGAGGGUGAUCGGCCACACUGGGACUGAGACACGGCCCAGACUCCUACGGGAGGCAGCAGUAGGGAAUCUUCCGCAAUGGACGAAAGUCUGACGGAGCAACGCCGCGUGAGCGAAGAAGGCCUUCGGGUCGUAAAGCGCUGUUGUUAGGGAAGAACAAGUAACGCAGUAACUGGCGUUACCGUGACGGUACCUAACGAGAAAGCCACGGCUAACUACGU
rnacentral:rRNA from 1 species